AUAUGGUCUAUUAGCUCAGUCGGUAGAGCACCUGACUUUUAAUCAGGGUGUCCCGCGUUCGAGUCGCGGAUAGAUCACCAAAAAGGUGGCGACAUAGCCAAGUGGUAAGGCAGUGGACUGCAACUCCUUGAUCCCCAGUUCGAAUCUGGGUGUCGCCUCCAAAAUAUUCCAAGGUAGCUCAACGGUGGAGCAACCGGCUGUUAACCGGUAGGCUGUGGGUUCGAGCCCCACCCUUGGAGCCAAAAAAGCCGAAGUGGCGGAACUGGCAGACGCACAGGACUUAAAAUCCUNAUCGUCAGCUAAGGUCCCUAAAUGUAAGUUAAGUGGUAAAGGAUGUGGGAUUGCACAGACAACCAGGAUGUUGGCUUAGAAGCAGCCACUCAUUCAAAGAGUGCGUAAUAGCUCACUGGUCGAGUGAUCCUGCGCCGAAGAUUUCCGGGGCUAAAACUUACUACCGAAGCUACGGCAUCAGUAAUGAUGGGUAGGGGAGCUUCCCAUACGGGUUGAAGCAUGACCGUAAGGACAUGUGGACAGUAUGGGAGUGAGAAUGUUGGCAUGAGUAGCGAGAUGUGGGUGAGAAUCCCACAGGCCGUAAACCCAAGGUUUCCAGGGGAAGGUUCGUCCGCCCUGGGUUAGUCGGGACCUAAGCUGAGGCCGAAAGGCGUAGGUGAUGGACAACAGGUUGAUAUUCCUGUACUACCGAUAACCGUUUGAGAGAAGGGAUGACACAGUAGGAUAAGCUAAGCACACUGUUGGUUAUGUGUGCCCAAGCAUUGAGGCAGUCAAAGUAGGCAAAUCCGCUUUGAUAAUGCUGGGAUGUGAUGGGGAGCGAAAUUUAGUAGCGAAGUAGCUGAUUUCACACUGUCAAGAAAAGUCUCUAUCGAGGUUAAAGGUACCCGUACCGCAAACCGACACAGGUGGGUGAGGAGAGUAUCCUAAGGCCAGCGAGAGAACUGUUGUUAAGGAACUCGGCAAAAUGACCCCGUAACUUAGGGAUAAGGGGUGCCACCAUCAGGUGGCCGCAGAGAAUAGGCCCAAGCGACUGUUUACCAAAAACAUAGGUUUCUGCUAAGUCGCAAGACGAUGUAUAGGAGCUGACGCCUGCCCGGUGCUGGAAGGUUAAGGGGAUCUGUUAGAGCAAUCGAAGCAGUGAACUUAAGCCCCAGUAAACGGCGGCCGUAACUAUAACGGUCCUAAGGUAGCGAAAUUCCUUGUCGGGUAAGUUCCGACCCGCACGAAAGGCGUAACGAUUUGGGCACUGUCUCAACAACAGACUCGGUGAAAUUGUAAUUCCGGUGAAGAUGCCGGAUACCUGCGACAGGACGGAAAGACCCCAUGGAGCUUUACUGUAGCUUGACAUUGGGUCUUGGUACUACAUGUACAGGAUAGGUGGGAGGCUUUGAAACCAGGACGCCAGUUUUGGCGGAGCCAUCCUUGGGAUACCACCCUUGUAGUACUGGGACUCUAACCAUAGGCCAUGAAUCUGGUCUUGGGACACUGUCAGGUGGGCAGUUUGACUGGGGCGGUCGCCUCCCAAAAGGUAACGGAGGCGCUCAAAGGUUCUCUCAGUACGGUCGGAAAUCGUACGUAGAGUGUAAAGGCAAAAGAGAGCUUGAUUGCAAGACAUACAGGUCGAGCAAGGAUGAAAAUCGGACUUAGUGAUCCGGUGGUUCUGCGUGGAAGGGCCAUCGCUCAACGGAUAAAAGCUACCCUGGGGAUAACAGGCUUAUCUCCCCCAAGAGUCCACAUCGACGGGGAGGUUUGGCACCUCGAUGUCGGCUCAUCACAUCCUGGGGCUGUAGUAGGUCCCAAGGGUUGGGCUGUUCGCCCAUUAAAGUGGUACGCGAGCUGGGUUCAGAACGUCGUGAGACAGUUCGGUCCCUAUCCGUCGCAGGCGUAGGAAAUUUGAGAAGACCUGUCCUUAGUACGAGAGGACCGGGAUGGACGUACCUCUGGUGUACCAGUUGUCCUGCCAAGGGCAUGGCUGGGUAGCUAUGUACGGAAUGGAUAAGCGCUGAAAGCAUCUAAGCGCGAAGCCAACUUCAAGAUAAGAUUUCCCACCGCAAGGGUAAGACCCCAGAAAGACUAUCUGGUUGAUAGGUCGAAGGUGUAAGUGCAGCAAUGUAUUUAGCUUAUCGAUACUAAUAGGUCGAGGACUUGACCAA
rnacentral:rRNA from 1 species